rnacentral:lncRNA from 1 species
UCCAGGAAAAAUUAUCAAAAAGAAUUACCAAAAACAAUCUCAUGCUACAAUCAAACAAUAUUACACAUUUAUUUCCCACAGAAUCAAAUUUUAACAUCCCACAUGUAGAUGGACCAUCUGAUGAUAACAAAACAAGUAUACUUCAUAAUCUAAAAUACAAAACUAUGGAAAACCAGAACAUUUCAACAGAAGGGAGAUCGAGCAACAAAAUUCAGAAACAAAAUUUAC